AUGUUGGAUCAGCUUAGUGGAGCAAUAGUGUUCACAAAGCUAGAUUUAAGAAGCGGGUAUCAUCAAAUUUGCAUCAGACCUAGGGAUGAAUGGAGAGCAGCCUUCAAGACAAAGGAAUGGUUGUUUCAAUGGCUAGUCAUGCCAAUUGGACUCUCAAAUGGACCAAGUACCUCUAUGCACUUGAUGAACCAAGUCCUUCGGCCCGUCUUAUCCCACUUUGUUGUGGUUUAUUUUGAUGACAUCUUGAUCUAUAGCAAGGAUGAGGAUGAACACUUUGAUCACAUUCGGAAAGUGCUAGGAGUACUAAAGGAAAAUGAGCUCUACGUCAACUUGAGGAAAUAUGUUUUCCUGCAAACACAACUUCUUUUCCAAGGAUUUGUCAUAACAUGCAACGGUAUUCGUGUUGAUGAUUCUAAGGUUGAAGCAAUCCGAGAAUGGCCAACUCCGGAUACCAUUUCUGAUGUAAGAAGUUUUCAUGGCCUUGCAACUUUCUAUUGGCGAUUUGUGAAGAAUGUCAUGGCACCAAUUACCGAGUGCUUGAAAAAAGGGAAGUUCCAGUGGACAGAAACGGCUAAAGCUAGUUUCAAUGAGAUCAAGCAAAAACUAUCACAAGACUUUUGA
rnacentral:rRNA from 1 species